UGGUGACUGAUGCUUUUCUUUGUUUCUUUUCCUGCUUUCAUCCACUGAUGGUGUCGAGCAUCGCCGAGGAUGUGAUCGAAUGCGGAAUAUUCGAAACGAGGAGAUUCAUUCCGGAUUUUGUUUGCAAUAAGCGCUGAACUAAUCCUCCAGCUUACAGGACGGCAAAGGUACACGCACAAACGUGCACACAUCAGCCUUCUCGGAGAACGAGAACACGGGAGGGGGAGACCGGCAACGUAUAGAACCUUUACGCUCCCUCGUGCGUUCGUGCGUGCGUGCGCGCGCGCGUCUAUGUGUGUGUAUGUGUGUGCAUGCCUGCGUGCGUGGCUGUGUGUGUUUUUGCCGCUUCGCAUAACGAGAUCCUACGGGAUCACCUUGCGAAAAACACCAAGAGAGGGGGAGGGGUAGGUAUGUGUGUAUGUGUGUGUGUAUGUGUGCUUGCAUGCGUGCGUGGCUGUGUAUGUGUGCUUGCAUGCGUGCAUGGCUGUGUAUGUGUGUGUAUGUGUGCUUGCAUGCGUGCAUGGUUGUGUAUGUGUGUAUGUGUGCUUGCAUGCGUGCGUGGCUGUGUAUGUGUGUGUAUGUGUGCUUUUGCUGUUUGGCGAUCUCCUACGGAAUCACCUUGCGAAAACACCUGGGAGGGGGGGGGGGGGGAGGAGUGAGGUGUGUGUGUGCUUGCCUGCGUGCUUUGUGUGUGUGUUUUUGCGUUCACGUUCUACGGGAUCACUUUGCGAAAAACACCAAGGGGAGGAGGAGGUGUGUGUGUGUAUGUUUUUUUUUUCUUUGCCGAUUCGCACUCUCUCGCGGAUCUAGUUGUGUGCGUUAGUUUUUUUUUUUAGUUUCUUCGAAAAAUACCUGGGGGAGGAUGUGUGUAUGAAAGAAUGUACUUCAGAAAAGAAAGUGAAAAAUAAAAAACGAAUAUGAAAUAUGUUAAACGAA